GUGCAGUGUGAGGAGGACAGGACCAAGAAGUGUGAGGAGGACAGGACCAAGAAGUGUGAGGAGGACAGGACCAAGAAGUGUGAGGAGGACAGGACCAAGAGGUGUGAGGAGGACAGGACCAAGAAGUGUGAGGAGGACAGGACCAAGAGGUGUGAGGAGGACAGGACCAGGAAGUGUGAGGAGGACAGGACCAGGAAGUGCAGUGUGAGGAGGAUGUUCAAAGAGGUGUAGAAUAAACUUAAUAAAUAGGUUGGCUUGGUUUAUUCAUCACGUCAUUGUAGCUGCACUUAGAUGACAGACAGAUUGACACACACGCACACACACGCACACACACGCACACACACACACGCAGAGAGAGAGAACAGCACAAGACAGACGUCUUUAAAACAGCUAUUCUUUGUGGUCAGGCGCCAUGCUCAUUACCGGCUGACUAAAUUGCUGACAGGAAGUCAGAGGUCAACAGUCCCCUUUGACCCCAGGGCUGGCAGGGGUGAGGGGGAUUGAGUCCAGCAGACCAGACAAGACCAGCCUGAAGGAAGCAGAAGGGAGAGAAGUGUGACAGGACCAGGACGUGUAGUGUGAGUAGGACAGGACAAAAUGGCACCCUAUUAUAAGGACUAGUGUUCUAUCUGGGAGGCAGAUGGAGACUCUCAUGGUUGUGUUGUAUUGUAUAGUCAAAUCAAAUUUAAACAAAUGUUAUUUGUCACGUGCACCGAAUACAACAGGUGUAGACUUUACAGUGAAAUGCUUACGUACAAGCCAUUAACCAAAAAUGCAGUUUUAAGAAAAAUAAGUGUUAAGAAAUUAUUUAAUAAAAUAAACUGAAGUAAAAAAAUAAAAAAGUACAUAAAUGAAACAUUUAAAUUUAAAAGAAGAAAAUAGAAAAAUAACAAAUAAUUAAAGUGAGACAAUAAAAUAACAGUAGCGAGGCUAUAUACAGGCCCAGAUUAUAUACAGGCCCAGAUUAUAUACAGGCCCAGAUUAUAUACAGGCCCAGAUUAUAUACAGGCCCAGAUUAUAUACAGGCCCUGAUUAUAUACAGGCCCUGAUUAUAUCGAGGCCCAGAUUAUAUACAGGCCCAGAUUAUAUACAGGCCCAGAUUAUAUACAGGCCCAGAUUAUAUACAGGCCCAG
ensembl:lncRNA